rnacentral:rRNA from 1 species
UAGGGAAUCUUCCGCAAUGGGCGAAAGNUGACGGAGCAACGCGCGUGAGUGAUGAAGGUCUUCGGAUCGUAAAACUCUGUUAUUAGGGAAGAACAUAUGUGUAAGUAACUGUGCACAUCUUGACGGUACCUAAUCAGAAAGCCACGGCUAACUACGUGCCAGCAGCCGCGGUAAUACGUAGGUGGCAAGCGUUAUCCGGAAUUAUUGGGCGUAAAGGGCGCGUAGGGGNUUUUUUAAGUCUGAUGUGAAAGCCCACGGCUCACCCGUGGAGGGUCAUUGGAAACUGGAAAACUUGAGUGCNGAAAAGGAAAGUGGAAUUCCAGGUGUAGCGGUGAAAUGCNCGAGGANAGGGAGGAACACCAGUGGCCGAAGGCAAUUUUCUGUUCUGUAACCUAACGCUGGAUUGUGCCGAAAGCGGGGGAUUCAAACAGGAUUAGAUACCCUGUGAAGUCCAACGCCCGUAAACGAAUGGGGUGCUAGGGGUUAGGGGGGUUUCCGNCCCCUUUAGNGGCUGGCGGCUUAACGGCAUUNAAGCACUCCCNCCCUGGGGANUACGNACCNGCAAGUUUGNAANCUUC